CUACGGGUGGCUGCAGGCGAGAAACUUCUACAAUGCACGCAAGUGUGAUAGAGGAAUCUUGAGUGUUUGGAUUUAAAUCCAAACUUUUCUCUAGUGUAAAAAGCUAGAGGAAUAAGGGCUGGGCAAGAUCGGUGCCAGCAGCCGCGGUAAUCCCGACGGCCCGAGUGGGACUCGAUUUUACUGGGUCUAAAACAUCCGUAGCUGGUUUUAAAAGUCUUAUGUUAAAUAGUUCUGCUUAACAGAGCAGUUGCAUGAGAUACUAUGAAACUAGAGACUGGGAGACGUGAUGAGUAUGAAUGGGGUAGCGGUAAAAUGCUUUAAUCCCAUUUAGACUAACAAUCGGCGAAGGCACAUCACGAGAACAGAUCUGACAGUGAGGGAUGAAGGCCAGGGGCGCAAAACGGAUUAGAUACCCGCGUAGUC
rnacentral:rRNA from 1 species